UAAUUUCUGAACUCAAGAAGCUUAAGAUCUGCUGAAGGAAGAAAACAUACACAGGGAAGCUGAAAAAGGCACUCAAGAGUAUUGUGGAUCAGAGCUGGCCUGUAUAGAGUGCAUGUAUGACAACUCUGCUAUAAGAAAGAUUUGGGUAUUCAUAGGCUUGGCCCGAGACCUUUGAAUUCUUUAAACUCAGAAAGCAGAAUGUUUGAAGAUCCCUAAUAAGAGAACCAGGAAUGUGUAUGUAUUCACAGAAGGUCAGGAAACUGAGGCAAAGAGGUUAUAAUUACAUAUCUGGU